CCUACGGGAGGCAGCAGUAGGGAAUAUUGCUCAAUGGGGGAAACCCUUAAGCAGCAAUGCCGCGUGGAGGAUGAAGGUUUUAGGAUUGUAAACCCCUUUUGUCAGAGAAGAUUAUGACGGUAUCUAACGAAUAAGCACCGGCUAACUCUGUGCCAGCAGCCGCGGUAAAACGGCGGGUGCAAGCGUUACUCGGAAUCACGGGGCGUAAAGAGUGCGUAGGCGGGGUAAUAGGUCAUAUGUGAAAUCCCGUAGCUUAACUACAGAACUGCAUUUGAAACUGUUACUCUGGAGUGUGGGAGAGGUAAGUGGAAUUCUUGGUGUAGGGGUAGAAUCCGUAGAGAUCAAGAGGAAUACUCAUUGCGAAGGCGACCAGCUGGAACAUUACUGACGCUGAUGCACGAAAGCGUGGGGAGCAAACAGGAUUAGAUACCCCUGUAGUC
rnacentral:rRNA from 1 species